CCUGCCCAUUCCCGGGGGAUAGCCCGCCGAAAGGCGGAUUAAUACCCCAUGGACCCUACUGCCCGCAUGGGCGGAAGGGUAAAGCUCCGGCGGGAAUGGAUGGGCAUGCGUGCCAUUAGCUGGUUGGUGGGGUAACGGCCCACCAAGGCUACGAUGGCUAGGGGGUCUGAGAGGAUGGUCCCCCACACUGGUACUGAGACACGGACCAGACUCCUACGGGAGGCAGCAGUGAGGAAUAUUGGUCAAUGGGCGGAAGCCUGAACCAGCCAUGCCGCGUGCAGGACGACGGCCCUACGGGUUGUAAACUGCUUUUCCGGGGGAAGAAUAAGGCCCAUGCGUGGGCCGAUGCCGGUACCCCGGGAAUAAGGAUCGGCUAACUCCGUGCCAGCAGCCGCGGUAAUACGGAGGAUCCUAGCGUUAUCCGGAUUUACUGGGUUUAAAGGGUGCGUAGGCGGGCGUUUAAGUCCGCGGUGAAAGUCUGCGGCUCAACCGUAGGACUGCCGUGGAUACUGGGCGCCUUGAAUUCGGUCGAGGCGGGCGGAAUGCGUGGUGUAGCGGUGAAAUGCUUAGAUAUCACGCAGAACGCCGAUAGCGAAGGCAGCUCGCCGGGCCGAUAUUGACGCUGAUGCACGAAAGCGUGGGGAUCAAACAGGAUUAGAUACCCUGGUAGUCCACGCCGUAAACGAUGAUGGCUGGGUGUUGACGAUACACCGUCAGC
rnacentral:rRNA from 1 species